UAAAUUUACUAUUUUACCCAAUAACUCAUGGCCUCCAAAUUAAAAAUGGGUUAAUGGUAGUCUUUACCCUAUUUGAAAGACAAAAACAAAAAUAUACCCACUAUAAAAGAAAUGUAUAAAAUGUAUUCUUUUGGGGGUUAAAAGGACUAAAAUACCCUUAAAACAAAAAAAAAUACCAAACAAAUCCCCUCUCCCCUCAAAUCCCCAAAUCACAGACACUCUUCUCUCUCUCUCUC
rnacentral:lncRNA from 1 species